CCGAGCCGGGAGGGUUCGUACCGGCUGGGAGCCUGGUCUCUUCUGAGCUGGGAGGCGCUUAAAUCUGGGGAUCUUCUUGGGCUUCGAGAAGCAAGCCAGGAGAGGACCUCAGGCUGCCGGGGCAGUGCUGAGGCCCAGCCACUAGACCACCACAGCUCGGUCUCUCACGAAGCUGCAGCAGGAACUUCGCUGACCCUCAGAUUAUGGCUCAAGUUUGGAAGAUGAUGCCGUGGGGAUAAUUCAGGGCACAACCCAAGGACGUUGCUGAUUCUCCUUCAGGUAUAUCCAACUUACAGAGCUCCUGUAUUUGGAAAGCGUGAAGGGGCCCAGACUUUGAACUCCUGUCUUGUUUCACUGUUUUGUGUUUUUUUAAACUAAAGCUAUCCAAAGCCAUGUAUUAAACAGAAUAAUUUUCUAUAUUUAAAAAUGAACAAAAAAGGUAAAAUGUGUUAUUUGGAUUUGGAAACUAGCAGGAGCAUGGAUUCAUGCUAGAAACCCAAACCCCCUCACUAAAAUCAACAAGGUGACCUUGGCAUUAACACUCUAAAUGCUGCUGCUCUGCCCACACCUGCUUGACUAGCAGAAGCCCAUAUUUCCACCCUGAAAUGUUUUUCUAGAACUGCAGUGGAAUUCUGAAGACUUAAAAAAAAUUGCACCAGUUGCUCUCCUGACAUGGAGCAGAGAGGCAAUUUCUGCAAUGUUUGUUUUUUUUUUUU